UCCCCCCCCCACCAGGAACUAUUCUUAAAACUGGAGCCAAUAGCCUCCCCACCACUUCCAAGGUGGAAAUGUUUCGACACGGCCCCUAUCUAAUCUGUCCCAGAGACUGGUCCAAAUUAGAAGGUGGAAAAAAUGAACUUGGGACAACCUGUUAGCUGAGCUCAUGCAGUCCUCCUGCACUGAUAGGGUCCAGCUGAAUGCGUGGAGGCAAACAAUUGCAGAGUCCUGUAAAGCAUUACAGGAACACGAAGAGAGGAGGGAUGCACGCGACGAGAGCAAGCAGAAUGCUAUAGGCAAGGUCAUGGGGGAGCAAACUGACAUGCUCCGUUGUAUGGUGGAUCUAAUGCGGGAAAUGCAGCAAGACCACAGACUGCCACUGCAGCCCCUGUAUAACUGCCCUCCCUCCUCCCCAAGUUCUAUAACGUCCUCACCUAGAUGCCCAAGAACAUGGGGAAGGGGAAGGUGGAGGCUACAGGGACCCACACACUCAACCCCAGAGGAUCACCCAUACAGCAGAAAGCUGGCAUAUGCAAACUUUUGAUUUGAUUUCUGGACUUGUCCUUCCUUCCUCCUCCUCCACUCCCCUAACCCACCCCAUUCUACCUUCUGAUUUCUCUCAAUGUGUUGUGAAACAAAUAAUAAAGAGUGGUUUUUAAACAA